AACGCGAAGAACCUUACCUACUCUUGACAUCCAGAGAACUUUCCAGAGAUGGAUUGGUGCCUUCGGGAACUCUGAGACAGGUGCUGCAUGGCUGUCGUCAGCUCGUGUUGUGAAAUGUUGGGUUAAGUCCCGCAACGAGCGCAACCCUUAUCCUUUGUUGCCAGCGGUUCGGCCGGGAACUCAAAGGAGACUGCCAGUGAUAAACUGGAGGAAGGUGGGGAUGACGUCAAGUCAUCAUGGCCCUUACGAGUAGGGCUACACACGUGCUACAAUGGCGUAUACAAGGAGAAGCGACCUCGCGAGAGCAAGCGGACCUCAUAAAGUACGUCGUAGUCCGGAUUGGAGUCUGCAACUCGACUCCAUGAAGUCGGAAUCGCCAGUAAUCGUAGAUCAGAAUGCUACGGUGAAUACGUUCCCGGGCCUUGUACACACCG
rnacentral:rRNA from 1 species